rnacentral:rRNA from 1 species
GUUCCUACGGGAGGCAGCAGUAGGGAAUUUUCGUCAAUGGGCGCAAGCCUGAACGAGCAAUGCCGCGUGAACGAGGAAGGUCUUCGGAUCGUAAAGUUCUGUUGAAGGGGAAAAAGAGCGGAGAGAGGAAAUGGUCUCCGAUUGAUAUUACCCUUCGAGGAAGUCACGGCUAACUACGUGCCAGCAGCCGCGGUAAUACGUAGGUGGCGAGCGUUAUCCGGAUUUAUUGGGUUUAAAGGGUGCGUAGGCGGCCUGUUAAGUUAGUGGUUAAAUGUCGGGGCUAAACCCCGGAUUGCCAUUAAAAC